UGCGCAGUUUGAUGUUUUGUGGUGUGCAUGUUUUCGUCAUGACGUGAGCCACUUUUUCCUUCCUUUUUUGUUCAACUCUCGACGGAAGCACGUCGUUGAAGAGCAGUUCUAAUUCACCAUGGAACGUGAUCAUAGGCAAAAUGUUACGACCGGUUUUUGUCAGACUUCCUGCAGCUUCGGUCUGAGAAUGGCACCACAUGCAUAUGUAAUUAAAUACAAUCAUACCUAGGACAGAAUAUAUAUGAGAAGAUAAAAUACAUAUUGUUCACAGAAGAUUAAGAAUUGAUUCAAAUCUUGGAUGACUUUCCUAAAUGAUACAGAACUGCCAGAGUGUCUGUAUUCACCAAUUGUGGGUUAAAUAAAGCAGUUUGCCUUGGCUCAUUUAACAUCAUAUUAAGCCAAUCAGUAAUAUAUAUAUAUGAGGCUUGCAACUGUGUUCCUAUAUUUGAAGAAUUAGCAAAAGUGUCAUGAUAAUUUGAAGAAUUGCCAUUAGUGAAAGCAAUAAAUCUACAUUUUAGGAUUUGUCAAGAUAUAUCUUCAUUAAGGGUUCUGGAAUUCUGCACAAAUUUUUAACAAAUAAAACAGGUCCUCUUGAUAUGAUUGAAAUAUUGAAGAUCAAUAAAUACAGGUGUGGAAUAGCAUUAUCAAAGUUCAGGAGUUUGUUUCUUUUAUCAUUAUACCGUCACCAACAACACCAGUACCUUAAACAAAUUAUAUGGAAAUUAUGAGCAAAAAUAAAUAAUUUAAAAAUAA